rnacentral:lncRNA from 1 species
UUUGGUUUUGGAGUUGCCGUUCGAAGUCGAGUCCGUGGUUCCUGUUCGAUCUAGUUGUUGUUUUUCUUGUUCGGAGUUUGUGAUUCAGAGCAUUGUAGCCGACUCUCUUAAUUCUCUUCUACUAAGAAGAAACUUGCAAUUCUCAGGUUCAUUCUCACUAUCCCAUUUAUCUUAGUUUUCUUAUUGCAAAUUUAGCCGAAAGAGCCAUUUUAGGAUAGGUUCGUUGGUAUUCUGUUUAGUCGAUUAGAUACAGAUUUAUGGGAAUAUGGGUUCGUUAUUCUCAUUUUGGUUUAAUCUGUGCCAUUUGAUUGUUUAUCUCUUUUAAUAGUUUGCUUAUAUUUUAGGAAUGAAUCAAUUUUCAAUUCAUUUGGAUCUUGUACUGUCGUAGUACACUUUGUUCCUACUUAUUCUUAGUCUAACACCAGCAUGAAGGGCAUAUUUUAAGGGGGUUUAUUUAGUCUUAUUAAGGUUUUAAGUAGGAUAGGUUCAUUACUCUUGUUUGAAAAUUGGUAGAUCACUACUUGAAAUCAAAAAUCUAAACUAAAAGUGCCAUAAAACCAUCUCCCUCAUUUCUUUAAUUCAAAUCUGACAUUAUGUCUCAAUCUUAGUUGUUGGAAUAUUCUUUCUUAUUCGAAUUAGUUAGCGUUCUAAAAAUUGAUACCUCCAGCGUGGUUUCACUUCUCUAUAGUUACUAGGAUACUUUUUGUCAGACUAGUGUAGUAACCAUGUUUAGGACCUUGAGCUUUUCUUAUUUAUUAGUCUAUUUUCUCAAUCUCAAAUGAUGGACCAUUAUUUAUGAGAAAUGGAUUAAGUGCAUGAAAAUGUGAUUUUUUUUUAAGAAAUCAUUUUGUGGCUAUUAAUGCGGGUCGAUUAAAUUUGUAGUAAAUAUUUAGGAUCCAUAUUUAUGUCCAGCUAAAUAUCAUGUUUUGGAAUAUUUCGUUGGUUUGAAUUAAUUGGGGUGGGUAGUAAAGAUCUUUAGAUGGCUCUUUCAGAUGGCUUUAAUUCACCUUCCUUUACUUUUAUUUCCAUUUUGGUUUUCUUUAGCUCUUAUUUCCUCGUAAGUGUUGAGUUUCGUUGGGCAGUCUUUAUCUCUGUUUGAAUCAGCUUGUUUACGUGAAUGUUUUAGAUGUAAGGAGGAUUUCGAGCGGUUGGGUAUUGAAAUUAACGAAACAGAGUUCAAUUGUACAUUUGUUUCUUUUAUUAUCUUGUUCGUUAGGAGCAUGCUUAGGCCGAUCACAUUUGGGUAGGCAAACCUUUAGGAUGUUCGUGUUUUAGCUUCUUUCUGAGGCAAGAGAUUCCCCUUAAUUAAAUUUAUCCGGGGAAUGCCCCGAAGAAUUUGUAUAUAUUUUAUUCGGGGUAUGCCCCGAAGUAUUUGUAUUUGGAGGCCGAUAGUAGAACUCGUAGUAUUUUUGUUUCUAUUUUUAUUUUUUAUUUUAUUAGGCAGGGAUGACCUCAAGCCUCGUAUGUGUUUGUUUUGCUUUUCUGUAUUUUUACCUCAACUUGAAUAUUUUAAAAGCCGAUUAGAUCAAGUAUGCAAUCAUACUAGUUACGGGACUUGGGGAGUGCCUAACACCUUCUCCUCGAGUCAAAUGAACCCUCUUACCCAAAUAUUUGGUGCAGACUUAAUUUGGAGUCCAAAGUGUUUUAAAAGGAAAAUCAUUUUUAAAAACGGUGACCUGGCACACCGAAACAAAUGACAGGUGGCGACUCUGAGUUUUUUCCUUUUGAACACAAUUUUGUCACUUUUUAAUUAAAAACUCUUUUGAGCUUUACAAAUCCUUUUUAUUAUUUUUGAGAGGGUUAGUGGGUUGUUAAAAAGGGGUGUGACAUAUAUAAACAGAAAUUUUUAGCUAUUUUUUAAUUUUUAAAACCCUAAAACAUAAGAGGCGAUUUUCCAAACAUUUUUUCUUCCCAAAAAUACUAGUAAGUGAUUUUUAACUCAUUUCUUUCACUCCUUAACUUCUUUUUACAAGAUUUCAUCCUAGAAUAUAGGGUUUUUCAUGGUGGAAUUGGGAAUUUCGGGUAGAGCCUAAGAAUAUUGAAAUUUGGUGAUUCAGACCUCAAAUUGAGGUCGGAUUCCAAAACCAAUAAUAUAUCCGGGCUCGGGGUGAAUGGGUAAUCGGGUUUUGGUCCGAAUUUCGGGUUUAGACCAAGUGGGCUCGGGGUUAAUUUUUGACUUUUUGGGAAAAUCAUUGAAAAACCUAUUUUCAUGCAUUAGAAUUGACUCAUUUAAUAUUUACUAAUAUUAUUAAGUAAAUUGUGACUAGAUAUAAGCGAAUUGGAAAUGGAACCAAGAGGUAAAGCGGAAGUUGAGGCUUGAUUGUGUUCGUGGCUUUGAGUUAAGUGUUUGGUCUAACCUUAGCUUGAGGGAUUAGGAGUUGAGUCUUCUUUUCUAUGUGUUAAUUGUUGAGUACGACGUAUAGGCAUAGUGACGAGUAUCUAUACGUUGAUGCCAAGCAUGCCUGCGAGUCGUAUACUAUGAUUAAUGUGACUCCGUUUCAUAACCUUCAUGCUUUAUAUGAUGAUUUCUAUUGAUGAACAAGACUUGUGGAAGUAUUAUUGGUAAUUGAACAAUGUAGAGCGUUGGCUCAAGUUGAGAAUUGAGUUGUGAAGUAAAUGUGG